rnacentral:rRNA from 1 species
CAGCCGCCGCGGUAAUUCGUAGGGGGCGAGCGUUACCCGGAUUCACUGGGCGUAAAGGGGGUGUAGGCGGCUCGGUAAGUCGGGUGUGAAAUCCCACGGCUCAACCGUGGAAUUGCGCCCGAAACUGCCGAGCUUGGGGCCGGUAGAGGGAGACGGAACUGCCGGUGUAGGGGUGAAAUCCGUAGAUAUCGGCAGGAACGCCAGUGGCGAAGGCGGCCUCCUGGCCCGUUCCUGACGCUGAGACCCGAAAGCGGGGGGAGCAAACCGGAUUAGAUCCCCGGGUAGUCCACGCCGUAAACGGUGGGCACUAGGUGUGGGGGGUUAAUCCCUCCGUGCCGAAGCUAACGCAUUAAGUGCCCCGCCUGGGGAGUACGGCCGCAAGGUUGAAACUUAAAGGAAUUGGCGGG